GGCCAGGUAGCUCAGUCGGUAGAGCAGGGGACUGAAAAUCCCCGUGUCGGCAGUUCGAUUCUGUCCCUGGCCACCA
rnacentral:tRNA from 38 species